UGGGGAAUAUUGCACAAUGGAGGGAACUCUGAUGCAGCGACGCCGCGUGAGUGAUGAAGGAAUUCGUUUCGUAAAACUCUGUUCUAUGGGAAGAAAAGGACUGUACCAUAGGAGAAAGCUCCGGCUAAAUACGUGCCAGCAGCCGCGGUAAUACGUAUGGAGCGAGCGUUGUCCGGAAUUAUUGGGCGUAAAGGGUGCGCAGGCGGCUUUACAAGUUGGAUGUGAAAUAUUGUGGCUCAACCACAAACGUGCAUCCAAAACUGCAAAGCUUGAGUUAAGGAGAAGUAAGUGAAAUUCCUGGUGUAGCGGUGAAAUGCGUAGAUAUCAGGAGGAAUACCGGUGGCGAAGGCGACUUACUGGACUUAAACUGACGCUCAGGCACGAAAGCGUGGGGAGCAAACAGG
rnacentral:rRNA from 1 species